AGAGUUUGAUCCUGGCUCAGAUUGAACGCUGGCGGCAUGCCUUACACAUGCAAGUCGAACGGCAGCACGGGAGCAAUCCUGGUGGCGAGUGGCGAACGGGUGAGUAAUGUAUCGGAACGUACCUUUCAGUGGGGGAUAACGUAGCGAAAGUUACGCUAAUACCGCAUAUUCCGUGAGCAGGAAAGCAGGGGAUCGCAAGACCUUGCGCUGAUUGAGCGGCCGAUAUCAGAUUAGCUAGUUGGUGAGGUAAAGGCUCACCAAGGCGACGAUCUGUAGCGGGUCUGAGAGGAUGAUCCGCCACACUGGAACUGAGACACGGUCCAGACUCCUACGGGAGGCAGCAGUGGGGAAUUUUGGACAAUGGGGGCAACCCUGAUCCAGCCAUGCCGCGUGGGUGAAGAAGGCCUUCGGGUUGUAAAGCUCUUUCAGCCGGGAAGAAAUCACAUGGGUUAAUACCCUGUGUGGAUGACGGUACCGGAAUAAGAAGCACCGGCUAACUACGUGCCAGCAGCCGCGGUAAUACGUAGGGUGCGAGCGUUAAUCGGAAUUACUGGGCGUAAAGCGUGCGCAGGCGGUUUGUUAAGAUAGGCGUGAAACCCCCGGGCUCAACCUGGGAACUGCGUUUAUGACUGGCAGGCUAGAGUAUGGCAGAGGGGGGUGGAAUUCCACGUGUAGCAGUGAAAUGCGUAGAGAUGUGGAGGAACACCGAUGGCGAAGGCAGCCCCCUGGGCCAAUACUGACGCUCAUGCACGAAAGCGUGGGUAGCAAACAGGAUUAGAUACCCUGGUAGUCCACGCCCUAAACGAUGUCAACUAGGUGUUGGGUUGGUAAAACCAUUUAGUACCGGAGCUAACGCGUGAAGUUGACCGCCUGGGGAGUACGGCCGCAAGGUUAAAACUCAAAGGAAUUGACGGGGACCCGCACAAGCGGUGGAUGAUGUGGAUUAAUUCGAUGCAACGCGAAAAACCUUACCUACCCUUGACAUGUCCAGAAGCUCUUAGAGAUUUGAGUGUGCCCGAAAGGGAACUGGAACACAGGUGCUGCAUGGCUGUCGUCAGCUCGUGUCGUGAGAUGUUGGGUUAAGUCCCGCAACGAGCGCAACCCUUGUCGUUAAUUGCCAUCAUUUAGUUGGGCACUUUAACGAGACUGCCGGUGACAAACCGGAGGAAGGUGGGGAUGACGUCAAGUCCUCAUGGCCCUUAUGGGUAGGGCUUCACACGUCAUACAAUGGUCGGUACAAAGGGUUGCCAACCCGCGAGGGGGAGCUAAUCCCAGAAAGCCGAUCGUAGUCCGGAUCGUAGGCUGCAACUCGCCUGCGUGAAGUCGGAAUCGCUAGUAAUCGUGGAUCAGCAUGUCACGGUGAAUACGUUCCCGGGUCUUGUACACACCGCCCGUCACACCAUGGGAGCGGGUUCCGCCAGAAGUAGGUAGCCUAACCGCAAGGAGGGCGCUUACCACGGCGGGGUUCGUGACUGGGGUGAAGUCGAAACAAGGUA
rnacentral:rRNA from 1 species